GAUUAUGGCUCAGGAUGAACGCUAGCUACAGGCUUAACACAUGCAAGUCGAGGGGCAGCAUUGGGAUAGCUUGCUAUUCAGAUGGCGACCGGCGCACGGGUGAGUAACGCGUAUCCAACCUUCCUGCCAGUAGGGAACAGCCCGGCGAAAGUCGGAUUAAUGCCCUAUGUUCUUCAAUGCGGACAUCUAAGUUGAAGGAAAGAUUCAUCGCUGGCAGAUGGGGAUGCGUCCGAUUAGCUUGCCGGCGGGGUAACGGCCCACCGGGGCGACGAUCGGUAGGGGUUCUGAGAGGAAGGUCCCCCACACUGGUACUGAGACACGGACCAGACUCCUACGGGAGGCAGCAGCGAGGAAUAUUGGUCAAUGGGCGUAAGCCUGAACCAGCCAAGUAGCGUGCCAGGAUGACGGCCCUACGGGUUGUAAACUGCUUUUAUGCGGGGAUAAAGUGCGGCACGUGUGCCGCUUUGCAGGUACCGCAUGAAUAAGGACCGGCUAAUUCCGUGCCAGCCGCGGC
rnacentral:rRNA from 1 species